UACGAAGGGGGCUAGCGUUGUUCGGAAUCACUGGGCGUAAAGCGCACGUAGGCGGAUCUUUAAGUCAGGGGUGAAAUCCCGAGGCUCAACCUCGGAACUGCCUUUGAUACUGGGGAUCUCGAGUCCGGGAGAGGUGAGUGGAACUGCGAGUGUAGAGGUGAAAUUCGUAGAUAUCGCAAGAACACCAGUGGCGAAGGCGGCUCACUGGCCCGGAACUGACGCUGAGGUGCGAAAGCGUGGGGAGCAAACAGG
rnacentral:rRNA from 1 species